AGAUCGGUAGCACAGUGGUUAGUGCAGUCUGCCGGAAAUAGUAGAAAGAUGCGGGUUCAAUUCCCGUCCGAUGUC
rnacentral:tRNA from 1 species